GGGGCUGUAACGGUUUCGACGUGUUGGCGAACGCUGCUUCGUGAUUCAGGCCGAGAGUGAGUCUCCUCUCGAAAAUCAAAGGCUCAAAAAAAAGUAGAUGCGAACAACAUCGUUCCUUUUGCUCGUAAGGCCGUAGCUGUUGCCUAAAAAACCUUUCCAAGGUUAGAGAGCGUUCACAGGUUGACUCCGUUAAGGCUUGUGGACAAACCCCAACGGAUGCUUCAGUCGUUAGCCUCUGGUCUACUGCUGACUAAGACUUUACUAGAGAAUCCCAUCGUCCGGGAUAAGGGACGGUUCCCGCCUUGAGGAUCAGAUAGGCUAAGCCUGUGAAUGAGCGAAAGGUCAAUACCCAAUGCGGACACGGGUUCGACUCCCGUCAGCUCCAUUU
rnacentral:tmRNA from 1 species